rnacentral:rRNA from 1 species
AUUGAACGCUGGCGGCAUGCCUUACACAUGCAAGUCGAACGGCAGCACGGGUGCUUGCCCCUGGUGGCGAGUGGCGAACGGGUGAGUAAUACAUCGGAACAUGUCCUGUAGUGGGGGAUAGCCCGGCGAAAGCCGGAUUAAUACCGCAUACGAUCUACGGAUGAAAGCGGGGGACCUUCGGGCCUCGCGCUAUAGGGUUGGCCGAUGGCUGAUUAGCUAGUUGGUGGGGUAAAGGCCUACCAAGGCGACGAUCAGUAGCUGGUCUGAGAGGACGACCAGCCACACUGGAACUGAGACACGGCCCAGACUCCUACGGGAGGCAGCAGUGGGGAAUUUUGGACAAUGGGCGAAAGCCUGAUCCAGCAAUGCCGCGUGUGUGAAGAAGGCCUUCGGGUUGUAAAGCACUUUUGUCCGGAAAGAAAUCCUUGGCUCUAAUACAGUCGGGGGAUGACGGUACCGGAAGAAUAAGCACCGGCUAACUACGUG